rnacentral:rRNA from 1 species
UACAGAGGAUGCAAGCGUUAUCCGGAAUGAUUGGGCGUAAAGCGUCUGUAGGUGGCUUUUUAAGUCCGCCGUCAAAUCCCAGGGCUCAACUCUGGACAGGCGGUGGAAACUACCAAGCUGGAGUACGGUAGGGGCAGAGGGAAUUUCCGGUGGAGCGGUGAAAUGCGCAGAUAUCAGGAGGAACACCGGUGGCGAAGGCGGGUCUCUGGGCCGUAACUGACGCUGAGGAGCGAAAGCGUGGGGAGCGAACAGG